GAAAGCCGUAUGAGGGAAAACCUCACGUACGGUUUGAUGAGGGGCGGGUGAAAUUUCACCCGCCUACUCUAU
rnacentral:ncRNA from 1 species